rnacentral:rRNA from 1 species
AGAGUUUGAUCCUGGCUCAGAUUGAACGCUGGCGGAAUGCUUUACACAUGCAAGUCGAGCGGCAGCGCGGGGGCAACCCUGGCGGCGAGCGGCGAACGGGUGAGUAAUGCAUCGGAACGUACCCAUUGGUGGGGGAUAACUAACCGAAAGGUUAGCUAAUACCGCAUAAGUCCUGAGGGAGAAAGCAGGGGAUCGCAAGACCUUGCGCGAAUGGAGCGGCCGAUGCCGGAUUAGCUAGUUGGUAGGGUAAAGGCCUACCAAGGCGACGAUCCGUAGCUGGUCUGAGAGGAUGAUCAGCCACACUGGAACUGAGACACGGUCCAGACUCCUACGGGAGGCAGCAGUGGGGAAUUUUGGACAAUGGGGGCAACCCUGAUCCAGCCAUUCCGCGUGAGUGAAGAAGGCCUUCGGGUUGUAAAGCUCUUUCGGCAGGAACGAAACGGUCCUGGUUAAUACCUGGGGCUAAUGACGGUACCUGAAGAAGAAGCACCGGCUAACUACGUGCCAGCAGCCGCGGUAAUACGUAGGGUGCGAGCGUUAAUCGGAAUUACUGGGCGUAAAGCGUGCGCAGGCGGCUCUAUAAGACAGAUGUGAAAUCCCCGGGCUUAACCUGGGAACUGCGUUUGUGACUGUAGGGCUUGAGUGUGGCAGAGGGGGGUGGAAUUCCACGUGUAGCAGUGAAAUGCGUAGAGAUGUGGAGGAACACCGAUGGCGAAGGCAGCCCCCUGGGUCAACACUGACGCUCAUGCACGAAAGCGUGGGUAGCAAACAGGAUUAGAUACCCUGGUAGUCCACGCCCUAAACGAUGCCAACUAGGUGUUGGGGGAGGAGACUUCCUUAGUACCGAAGCUAACGCGUGAAGUUGGCCGCCUGGGGAGUACGGUCGCAAGAUUAAAACUCAAAGGAAUUGACGGG